AUGUCACAAUGUGAGAAGGAUCCGUCUCGUGCCCUUUCUUGGUUUCAGAUCUACACUAAGGUGAAGGUAGGAAAAAUUUCUUGCUCCAUGAUGAUAGAUCGUUCUUCUAAAAUAAAUUUGGCGAGUCAAACUUUGGUCGAUGCAUUGAAGCUAGUGGUGACAGAGCAUCCAGAUCCAUAUAAGCUCGCAUGGCACGGAAAAUAUGUGAUAAUAAAACAUCAAGUUGAGGUGCCUCUUGGAUUUUGUGGAUUUAGUGAUUCGAUUUUAUGUGAUGUUCUUCCAUCUCUACUCCUAACUAGCACAAAUGCCCGUGCGUUGCAACAGGAAAAAAAUGAAAAAACCUACCCCUACAAAAAAGCUAUGUACAUUUACGAAGCCUUCCAACUAAACUAA
rnacentral:rRNA from 1 species